rnacentral:rRNA from 1 species
AGGUAAUAGAUACCCUGGUAGUCCACGCUGUAAACGAUGGAUACUAGGUGUAGGGGGCGUAGCCCUCUGUGCCGCAGUUAAACACAUUAAGUAUCCCGCCUGGGGAGUACGAUCGCAAGAUUAAAACUCAAAGGAAUUGACGGGGGCCCGCACAAGCAGCGGAGCAUGUGGUUUAAUUCGACGCAACGCGAAGAACCUUACCAAGGCUUGACAUCUGUAGAAUUCGGUAGAAAUACUGAAGUGCCCUUUCGGGGGAACUGCAAGACAGGUGGUGCAUGGUUGUCGUCAGCUCGUGUCGUGAGAUGUUAGGUUAAGUCCUGUAACGAGCGCAACCCCUGUUGUUAGUUGCUACCAUUAAGUUGAGCACUCUAACGAGACUGCCGAGGUUAACUCGGAGGAAGGUGGGGAUGACGUCAAAUCAUCAUGCCCUUUAUGCCUUGGGCCACACACGUGCUACAAUGGCCGGUACAAAGAGAAGCAAGGCAGCGAUGCGGAGCAAAUCUCAAAAACCGGUCCCAGUUCGGAUUGCAGG